UCCAAAGUCUUCUCACACACACCUGUUUCUUGAUCAAUAAUUGGUAUUGACCCCAAAGUCUUCUCACAUUCACAUAUUUCUUGAUCAAACAAUCUUUCAUUUAGAUAACGGUGAGAUUAGAUUGUCUGUAAGAAUUUACUUGAAGGAGUAGGAGAAGGCAAUAGACAAGAAAAAUCGUCUCUCAUCAUCAACAAUAUUCAGCUUCUUCUUUGUAUUAGGUGCUGAUGGAAAACACAAGUCAACUGUUCUUGAUCUGUUGGAGAAAAAGGAGAGCACUUAUUGAUUUCGAUUCUUAGUGAUUGAGGAAGACACGAUCUUGUAACUGCCUGAUAUGGCAUCUUCAUCUGCUGUUGCU